AUGGAAGAAAUAUCUUCAACUGGAAAUGAAAACCAUGAUGAUGUUAGUCUGCAACAUCAAAUUAUGGUGUUUGCGGAGGUAAAGGAGAGUCAAGUUAGAGUCGGCGUUGUUUCGAAAAUGGUAAUUGGAUGUGAGAGUAAUUGGGUUUUGAGUGAAAGUUGUAAACAAACAAAUAAGGAAGAUGAACCUUGGGCUUCGAGGAUUCCAGUUUAUUCUUCAAUGGUUCAUGGAGCUCGUGUUGGUUUGCUGUUUUGCUGA